CGCGGAAAUAGCUCAGUGGUAGAGCACUUGGUUUGGGACCAAGGGGUCGCAGGUUCGAAUCCUGUCUUCCCGA
rnacentral:tRNA from 1 species